rnacentral:rRNA from 1 species
AUGUGAAUUGCAGAAUUCAGUGAAUCAUCGAAUCUUUGAACGCACCUUGCGCUCCUUGGUAUUCCGAGGAGCAUGCCUGUUUGAGUGUCAUCAAAUUCUCAACCUUUCCGGCUUUUGCUAGCCGUGUCAGGCUUGGAUGUGGGGGCUGCGGGCUUC